rnacentral:rRNA from 1 species
AUUGAACGCUGGCGGCAGGCCUAACACAUGCAAGUCGAACGGCUGCACAGAGCUUGCUCCUGCUUUCAGGGGGGGACGGGUGAGUGAGGCCUGGGAAUAUCCCUGUUUGUGUUUUCUUAGGGGGUGAAGCGGGGGAUAAUACCGCAAAAGUCCUGACGGACUACGUGGGGAAGCAUCGGACCUUCCGCCCUCAGGUGAGCCUAUGUGGCGAGGUCGGAUUAGCUAGUUGGCGGGGUAAAGGCCCACCAAGGCGACGAUCCGUAGCUGGUCUGAGAGGAUGAUCAGCCGCACUGGAACUGAGACACGGUCCAGACUCCUACGGGAGGCAGCAGUGGGGAAUAUUGGACAAUGGGCGCAAGCCUGAUCCAGCCAUACCGCGUGGGUGAAGAAGGCCUUCGGAUUGUAAAGCCCUUUUGUUGGGAAAGAAAAGCAGCAGGUUAAUACCCCGCUGUUCUGACGUUACCAAAAGAAUAAGCACCGGCUAACUUCGUG